rnacentral:rRNA from 1 species
GAUGAACGCUGGCGGCGUGCCUAAUACAUGCAAGUCGAGCGAACAGAUGAGGAGCUUGCUCCUCUGACGUUAGCGGCGGACGGGUGAGUAACACGUGGAUAACCUACCUAUAAGACUGGGAUAACUUCGGGAAACCGGCGCUAAUCCCGGAUAAUAUAUUGAACCGUAUGGUUCAAUAGUGAAAGACGGUUUUGCUGUCACUUAUAGCUGGAUCCGCGCCUCAUUAGCUAGUUGGUAAGGUAACGGCUUACCAAGGCAACGAUGCGUAGCCGACCUGAGAGAGGGGUCGGCCACACUGGAACUGAGACACGGUCCAGACUACUAAGGGAGGCAGCAGUAGGGAAUCUUCCGCAAUGGGCGAAAGCCUGACGGAGCAACGCCGCGUGAGUGAUGAAGGUCUUCGGAUCGUAAAACUCUGUUAUUAGGGAAGAACAAAUGUGUAAGUAACUAUGCACGUAUUGACGGUACCUAAUCAGAAAGCCACGGCUAACUACGUG